UGACAAUGUACUGCAUGUAAAGCUCCAACCUAUGACCGAAAGCAUGAUUUGAUAGACAGAGGGGUUCACACAGGAGGCUUUGAAAAUGGCCCCCAGAGGAUUGAUUUUCAAAGGCACAGAAAGCAAAGGAUGAGUAAAGCACAAGUGUACUUUAGAUUGGCUCAUCUGUUUACCAUGAUUGUGCACACAACUGGGACUGCAGCUGCAGAAAACAUCAGUCCUCGACUGGGUUUCAAGGUAAGAGAUGACUCAUUUUGUUACCAGACAUCUAAAUAA
rnacentral:lncRNA from 1 species